rnacentral:rRNA from 1 species
AGUGAACGCUGGCGGUAGGCCUAACACAUGCAAGUCGAACGGCAGCACAGUAAGAGCUUGCUCUUACGGGUGGCGAGUGGCGGACGGGUGAGGAAUACAUCGGAAUCUACUUUUUCGUGGGGGAUAACGUAGGGAAACUUACGCUAAUACCGCAUACGACCUACGGGUGAAAGCAGGGGAUCUUCGGACCUUGCGCGAUUGAAUGAGCCGAUGUCGGAUUAGCUAGUUGGCGGGGUAAAGGCCCACCAAGGCGACGAUCCGUAGCUGGUCUGAGAGGAUGACACACCACAUGGGAAGAGAGACAGGGUCGAGACCCCUGGGGGGGGAACCGGUGGGGAAUAUUGGACAAGGGGGGAGAGCUGGAUCCACCCAUCCGGGGGGGGUGAAGAAGUCGUUCGGUUGUGAAAGCGUUUUUGUGGGGAAAGAAAAACAGCAGUUUAAUCCCCCGCUGUUAGGAGGUUACCAAAAGAAUAGGCCCCGGCUAACUCCGUG